rnacentral:lncRNA from 1 species
AGCUCCGCGCCUCGCGGACCCAGCAAGCUCGCGCUCAGACGCCCCAGCUCCGCCGAGAGGACGCUCGCCCCGGGUGCUUCUUUUUCCCCAAGUGCAGGCAGAGCCCCUGGAGCCAUGGCCAGCCCUUCCGGCAGCUCCGAAGCCACUGGCAAGCCCCGAGGCAGGGAUGGCCGGCCCAGGAGGGAGGAGGACGACGUCCCUCCUGAAGAGAAGAGGCUGCGGCUGUUGCUGGAGGGGGGAAGAGCACAGCCCGAGGACUGCGAGGACGGGGAGGACGCGCUGCGGCCGGGCAAGGAGGACACCGGCACCCAGACAGGUGGCGACGGCAGAGGAGCGGAAUUCUCCACGAGUUUUGAGCAGCCUCGGGUUUCCCACCACCUCCAAAUCAUGGAAGACACAGGGUAAGAGCAAAGACAAGGUGGCUGUGGCCGAUGUCCACCCUCUCGUGGCGUCCCUUCUCUUCUCUCCUCCUUGGGCAGGGAGA